AGACGUGCGCAGGCGGUUAUGCAAGACAGAUGUGAAAUCCCCGGGCCUCAACCUGGGAACUGCAUUUGUGACUGCAUAGCUAGAGUACGGUAGAGGGGGAUGGAAUUCCGCGUGUAGCAGUGAAAUGCGUAGAUAUGCGGAGGAACACCGAUGGCGAAGGCAAUCCCCUGGACCUGUACUGACGCUCAUGCACGAAAGCGUGGGGAGCAAACAGGAUUAGAUACCCCAGU
rnacentral:rRNA from 1 species